ACCGUAGCUGGACUGAGUCACAGACAUCUGAAGACAAGCUACACGUGCAAGUUCUCUCUCUUCUCUCACCGACGAACUCUCAUCAUGAAGACCGCUGUCCUGCUCGUUGUGCUGGGGCUGGUAGUGGCUGAGGCCAACGUGAUCCAUGUAAGACGUGACAACGAGAAGUCGACUGGUUCGGAAAGGUCCAUCCCGUGCCCAACAGGCGCACAGUGCUACUCCGGCAACUGUGGUGUCCUGGUGUCGUUUGGGUCCCAGGCCAUAUGUUGCUGUGGAGGGUCCGAUAUGACUGUUCACGGCAGUCUCAACUUGGCCAAUCUCUACGGGACUCAGUGUACCUGCAGCUAGUAAAACUCUUUGACCUGAUGCACGUCAAGGGCACGUCGAAUCAUCUGAUAUUUGGGUGUCUCCCACUACAGGCUGCCGACGUUACAAUGUUAUGUCUAUCUAUCUUUUAAUGUGAAUAAAUCCACCAAACGGUC